rnacentral:tRNA from 1 species
GGAGAGGUGCCAGAGCGGUUGAAUGGGCUCGUCUCGAAAAUGAGUAUGGUGUUACAGCCAUCGUGGGUUCGAAUCCCACCCUCUCCGCCA